CAAGUAAAGGAGGCUAGACUUUAAAGGAGGCUGUCCGGAGAAUGUCCUUUGCGUUAUUCACUAAUAACUUCUGCUGUAAACUUAACUGGUCUGGUAUUACCAGAAAUGACAAUGAAAGUAACUUCGUAAAACAAAGUCUAAAAGACUUACACUUGCUUAAAAGAGCUGUAAAAAAAAAAUCCUGCAACAACUUCAGCAACUGAAUCAGAUUUUCAAUAUGAGGUUGUGCGUUUUUUGCGUGGUGCAUCAGACUGCACUGGCGGA